rnacentral:rRNA from 1 species
UAACGGGAGGCAGCAGUAGGGAAUCUUCCACAAUGGACGCAAGUCUGAUGGAGCAACGCCGCGUGAGUGAAGAAGGUUUUCGGAUCGUAAAGCUCUGUUGUUGGUGAAGAAGGACAUGGGUAGUAACUGAUCUAUGUUUGACGGUAAUCAACCAGAAAGUCACGGCUAACUACGUGCCAGCAGCCGCGGUAAUACGUAGGUGGCAAGCGUUGUCCGGAUUUAUUGGGCGUAAAGCGAACGCAGGCGGGAGAACAAGUCAGCUGUGAAAGCCCUCGGCUUAACCGAGGAACGGCAACUGAAACUGUUUUUCUUGAGUGCAGAAGAGGAGAGUGGAACUCCAUGUGUAGCGGUGAAAUGCGUAGAUAUAUGGAAGAACACCAGUGGCGAAGGCGGCUCUCUGGUCUGUAACUGACGCUGAGGUUCGAAAGCAUGGGUAGCGAACAGGAUUAGAUACCCUGGUAGUCCAUGCCGUAAACGAUGAGUGCUAAGUGUUGGGAGGUUUCCGCCUCUCAGUGCUGCAGCUAACGCAUUAAGCACUCCGCCUGGGGAGUACGACCGCAAGGUUAAAACUCAAAGGAAUUGACGGGGGCCGNCACAANCGGUG